rnacentral:lncRNA from 1 species
CCGCCCAAGAUGAUUGGAGGUCAGAUGCAUGGUGAGAAGGUAGAUCUCUGGAGCCUUGGUGUUCUUUGCUAUGAAUUUUUAGUUGGGAAGCCUCCUUUUGAGGCAAACGUACACCAAGAGACCUACAAAAGAAUAUCACGGGUUCGAGUAUCAUGGGUUGAAUUCACAUUCCCUGACUGUAACAGAGGGACCCAGGACCUCAUUUUAAGACUGUUGAAGCAUAAUCCCAGCCAGAGGCCAAUGCUCAGAGAAGUACUUGAACACCCCUGGAUCACAGCAAAUUCAUCAAAACCAUUAAAUUCCCAAAACAAAGAAUCAACUAGCAAACAGUCU